rnacentral:rRNA from 1 species
UACGUAGGGGGCAAGCGUUGUCCGGAUUCAUUGGGCGUAAAGGGCGCGCAGGCGGCCCGGAAAGUCGGAUGUGAAAACUCGAGGCUCAACCUCGAGCGUGCACCCGAUACUGCCGGGCUUGAGGCAGGUAGGGGAGAUCGGAAUUCCUGGUGUAGCGGUGAAAUGCGCAGAUAUCAGGAGGAACACCGGUGGCGAAGGCGGAUCUCUGGGCCUGUCCUGACGCUGAGGCGCGAAAGCUAGGGGAGCGAACAGG